rnacentral:rRNA from 1 species
AGUGAACGCUGGCGGUAGGCCUAACACAUGCAAGUCGAACGGCAGCACAGUAAGAGCUUGCUCUUACGGGUGGCGAGUGGCGGACGGGUGAGGAAUACCUCGGAAUCUACUUUUUCGUGGGGGAUGACGUAGGGAAAAUUACGCCAAUACCGCAUACGACCUACGGGUGAAAGCUGGGGAUCUUCGGACCUUGCGCGAUUGAAUGAGCCGAUGUCGGGUUAGCUGGUUGGCGGGGUAAAGGCCCACCAAGGCGACGUUCCGUAGCUGGUCUGAGAGGAUGAUAGGCCAAACUGGACCUGGAACACGGCCCGGACUCUAACGGGAGGAGGCAGGGGGAAAUAUUGAACAAGGGGCGCAGGCCGGACCCAGCAAUACCGGGGGGGUAAAGAAGGCCUUCGGGUUGUAAGGCCUUUUUGUUGGGAAAGAAAAGCAGCAGUUAAAUACCCGGCGGUUCGGAGGGUACCAAAAGAUUAAGCACCGGCAAACUUCUG